UGCCCAGCAACUCCUAUCCCUACCUCCUCGUGGUACUGGCCGGGGUACGAGUAACCUUGGGGAAGAUCGGGUAACCAACCCCCGGUGUAAACUUUGGUCGUAUGCUGACAGAGAAGG
rfam:Aedes aegypti strain Liverpool supercont1.291 genomic scaffold, whole genome shotgun sequence.